GAAAGAGGGAGGCCCAGCCCAGAAAGCAGUGGGGUUUGGGAAAAAGCAGGAAAAGGGUGCAACUGUAGAGGGCUAUCAGCAAAAAGCAACUAUUUUGUCAAGCAAAGUGUGACUUUGAUUGCUUGCUACCUCUCUGCAAGACUUUUACAAACAUUUUAAAUGUUCCUCUCUAGUGAACGUCAGCAUCGAAGUGCACUAGGACAUUACAGUAGGUGACUUCGUUUGUGACCUUACCGGGCUUAAAAAGAUGACCCGAUGGGACAGUAGUGGAGAGGGUAGUAAGUUUUAAGUUCCUCGGGGUACACAUCACAGACAAACUGAAUUGGUCCACCCACACAGAAAGCGUGGUGAAGAAGGCGCAGCAGCGCCUCUUCAACCUCAGGAGACUGAAGAAAUUCGGCUUGUUACCAAAAGCACUCACAAACUUUUACAGAUGCACAAUCAAGAGCAUCCUGUCGGGCUGGAUCACCGCCUGGUACGGCAACUGCUCCGCCCACAACCGUAAGGCUUUCCAAAGGGUAGUGAGGUCUGCACAACGCAACACCGGGGGCAAACUACCUGCCCUCCAGGACACCUAAACCACCCGAUGUCACAGGAAGGCCAUAAAGAUCAUCAAGGACAACAACCACCCGAGCCACUGCCUGUUCACCCCGCUAUCAUCCAGAAGGCGAGAAAAUGAGGACAACACUUCAGCGAAAACACUCUGGCAAAUCGGCAAUGACAAAGGCCUUCAGCAAACCGAAGGGCCACAGCAGGGAUGGCGUCCCAGUCCCAUCACCAAGAGCACGGCUGAUCCAAAGCCUAACGUCCCAGAGUGCAGAGUUUGUGAUGGAGGAGCACAUGCAGCUCAGCACUGGACUGUAGACCCAAGAGAGACACUUUUCAGUGACACACUCAUCAUCACUAAAUCAAAGUCUUCCUCAAGCCUCAAACUGAAGGAGAGUGUGAGGCUGUGUGAGAUGUGGUUGGGUUCUUGCAUUGAAGAGGAUGAUGAGAGAACUGACCUCAAAGAACUCCUUUGUCAUUGGCUGGCCUACCACCAAUUACGUGGUGACUCUCAGAUAGGCUACUCCAAUCAUUAAAAUAAAUUUUUCAAUUGCCAGAAAAAUAGAUUAAAAUUAACUUGGGGGGGUAAGAUGACAUUUGUUUUCCCAAUCAGUUCAUCUGAUUGAGAAAUGGAGAAAUGGCUUUCAUCUUUACAACGGUAAGGAAAUACUUACAAAACCCAGGUGUACAAUAUAAAAAUGACUUCUGAAAUGAAAUGUUGACACUUAGGAAAAAAAGUGUUAUCUAGAACCUAAAAGGGUUAUUCGGCUGUCCUCAUAGGAGAACCCUUUGGAGAACCCUUUUUGGUUCUAGGUAUAAAAAAACUUUUGGGUUCUAUGUAGAACCCUUUUCACAGAGGUUCUACAUGGAACACAAAAGGGUUCUACCUGGAACUAAAAAGUGUUAUGCUAUGGGACAUCCGAAGAACCCUGUUGGAACAAUUGUUUCUAAGAGUGUAGGAUUAUGUAUCUACCUGAUGCAGGCACAUUAAGAUAUCAGACAUGUAUAGCACUAAUAUAUGCUUAUUUGCCACAGGCACAUCACCAAAUCCAAGAAAGUGGAAUAUCCCAGCAAUCUAACCAUGAAGGUUGUUCUCAUAAAUAUUGGAACUAGUGCAAUGGUCAUGAGCAUCCCUUCAGUAUUAUCCUAAACUCCUUGAGGGAAACAGACUGCCAAGUCUCAGCAGUCACCAACAACAUCCUGACUGUAGAUGGGAGCCUCUAUCUUGAUCACCUUCUCAAAGAUGCUUCCGGCCCAAACUUCAUCCUCAGGCUAAAGGCUGAUGUGGGAGGACUUGGCCGAGCAGGUUGCAGCUCUCGUUCAACAUCUCAUUGAAAACACCCCAGCCAUUUUUGGUGAAGAUGUUGAGUGCAUUUUUACUGAGCCAAAGAAAGAACAAGGAACUGCAGAGGAUGUCAUGGUGGAGUCUUACCAGCAGGUCGACUCGUCUGAUUAUUGGGACUGAGAGAAGCAAGAAGGACUUCACUCUCCUAACAGGGAACCUUUUUCCUGCCAUUGGAGAAACUGGUCUUGAAAGAGAUUUUGGGGCUUCUGAAUGAGGUUGACUCCUUGAAAAAGCAACAUGUGACUGAGGACAGUGCUUAUAGCUGUGGGAAUCUAGACUUAAUGUCUUCCCUCUCCAGUAGGUCUAUCUGCUCCCUGAUGGGGACACAACGUUUUUGCUCAGCUCGCUGCUCCUCGCUGCUCCCAUUGUGUGUCUAAGCUCCCCCCGGUUAGGGUCCCACAGCCAGCUCUACACUCUUGUCGCCCGCCAGUCCAGCUGCGAUGCAGCAGUGAUGUGUGGCCGUGCAGACCACUCCCAACACACACACACAAAUCCCACACUUAAGGGGCUACUAAAGUGGGACAGCAGCCCCAGGGUAGGUGGCAGCAAGUCUAGGUAUGCCUUCUGGAGGUCCCCUCAUGUAGCCUCGAGGUUCUGGCACCUUUCCCAGAGGCUGGCCGUGUCCAACAGGUCCAGUUUCUCCAGCCUGUCCUCCACAGGCACCUCUCCAUCUACCUCCUCUCUGAGCUCCAAAGACAGCGCCUUCUCCUUCUGCACCGACUCUGUGUCCUCUCCCAACGAGCCCAACUCCCUCCCCUUCCUGUUCGGCAUGUCGGCACGGUUAUGCCCUCUCACUCCAGACACCACAAAGAAAUUCCCAAAAGAUUGGAGUAUGACAUUCCCAGUGGCAGUUGCUCAGGCACCCAAGGAUUUGGACGGGUAUAAUUGGUCUGAUGAGAGAAAGGGAGACUAGAAGCAUUGCCAUUCUAUUAGCAUUCAGAAUAGAGAAGACCACCAGAUGCUCACCCAAAGCCUCUGUAGUUUAAAAGGUGAGUAUAUUUAAAGCCCUGUCUCUCAACCAGACAGUGAAAGGAUUCUCUCUGAUUGGAGAGGGGAGCAGGUGCACCAGAGCCAGAAGGAUAAAGUGUUCAAGUUGUCAGAGUCAAAAGGACAGACCAAAGAAACAUCCAUUGCACACAUACAGCUGACAAAUAAAAAAAACUGUCUGUCAAGAAGGAAGGGGACGAAAGGGGACGAAAAUUACAUUUUACACCUCCUCUAACAGAAUGCUGGUGAAAAAACAGUCUGAUCAAUCUGUGGAACAGUGUGGAGUCGCUCUGGUAUCUGACACAGGGAGACCACAUCAGGAAAAUGGGGAACUGCUGGCCCAAAGUGUGCAGCUCCACAUACCCCAGACAGUGUCCUAUGGUCAAAACACUCCACUGGUCCUGCAGUCUGUCAACCAGACAAUUUGCAAAUAACAAGAAAGGAUCAAAGGCCAAAACAGAUAUUCACCUUGGUGAAGUGGUCCCUGAACAGUUGGGUGGUGGGUGCACUCCUCUCUCCCACACAUCAUCUAAAACUCAUGCCAAAACUGCAAGCACAAUCAGCCACAAGACUGCAAGCACAAUCAGCCACAAGACUGCAAGCACAAUCAGCCACAAAACCGCAUGUGCAAUCAGCCACACUAUUAGAAUAAAACUGCAAGCAACUGUCAGAAAUACUGUGAGAGAAUACUUCAACUCAAGUGACAGCCAGAAUGGCCACUUAGAUGCAAAACGGAACGAAAAAGAGCUCCUCCAGUGGCAAAAUAAAAUGUUGGAACCAACAGAAAAUGCCACAAUGCGAUCACAUGGUGAGGAGUUGCCUGAUUGUUAAUGCUCAUCAUUUGGUGUUUUGUAAUGGGCUGUCAGAAUGUAGAUCAUCCUGGGUUAUUUCACCCUCCUCUGUGUGUGUAUUUUUUGCUAAAUUAUAAAUUAAGUCAAUGAAGGAUCCCACUGGGCAUAGACAUCAGUUCAAAGUCUAAUUUUGAUUAACUUUAAGUUGAGUUGUCAUCUAAGGUGAAUUCAACAUGAAAUCAAGAAAACAUUUCACCAUGUCAUUGGAUUUAGGUUCAAAAUUAGGUUCGAAAUUAGGUUCGAAAUUAUCUUAUAUUGAUGACUUUUUGCAAAUCCAAUCAGUUUUUACACAUGGAUUCAACAUCAUCACAUUUCAUUUUUUGGUUGAAAUUAUGUGGAAACAACAUUGAUUCAACCAGUUUUUGCCCAGUUGGAUGGUGCAGAUUGAAUGCAGGCACUCAAACCACUCAGACAGAGCAUUUCCUCCAAUGGAGUAGGGAUUCAUAACCUUAAUCAUUUUCUAUACAGAAGCAUUAUGAAUAAGGACCAGACAUCUUGACAUCACUGUGAUGUAUGUGUUUCCUAAUGGGGCUGUGAUAAUCUGUCGGUGAAAAAGUAAAAACAACCAAAUUUGAGGCAAAUUAGGUAUAAGAUGCACAACUUGUAUAUGGGCAAACACAUCUUAUAUUCAGUAGUUCUUCUCGGGUGUAUGUAAAGAAACCUAAGAUGACCUGGGGUACUAGUGUAAGAAAUAACACGUAAAAAAACAAAAAACUGCAUAGUUUCCUAGGAACGCGAAGCGAGGCGGCCAUCUCUGUCGGCGCCGGAAGCGAGAUUGUAUGGUGUGCAACACAUAUUCCUGCUGUAUAGUUAACAUCUGGUUAAUAAGUAAUCACCUACUUCUCACUUUUAUUGCUAAAGAAAAAUGACCAACGUAAAUCACAUUGCAUAUAGUGAGUUAAAAUGUUUGUUUUGUUUUUGCACAGUUCAGUGCUAUUUUGCAUUUGCAAAAUGAAGCCUCAUGUAUAGAUCUCAUUUAGACGCAUUGAUAUAACGGUCUUAAACACAUAAUAACAUAUACUGUACCACUUUUACCACAUCAUUGUUUGUUUUUAUGUAUGUUUUAUCCUAGAACUGUAACUUUGAACAAUAAUCAUAUGUAGCGUUAACCUUGAUAUCAACGUGUGUGUGUGUGUGUGUGUGUGUGUGUGUGUGUGGGGGGAUUUGCACCUCUUCACCCCUGUACGAGCUUAUGUUGAUGGCACCACUGAUAAUAAAUCAAGUUAGCCCUAAACAUCUCUGAAUCUCUGAGUAUGUUUUCCCAUGCCUUCUCAGUCCCAGGGUCCUAGGCAUAAUGUUUCCUUUUAUUUCUUUAUUGAGUUUAUUUAUUGAGUUUAUUUGAGCAAGGACAAUGUACAUCAGAAGCAUUAGUCUCAGUACACUUGAGAAAAUAUGUGUUGUAUCAGAUUUAGCUAGCAGCUCAUUUCCGUCUGCAGUUCCAGGGCAGGUUAAAAUCAAAACAAGAAAACAUUAUGAAGCCAGCAGGCUGGAUGCCUUGUUACAGAGCUACAAACAAUGAUUUGUAACACUUAACUUACUAUUUCUAAUUACAGAAAUGACUUCUAAAGGCAUGCUACUUUAGGCAAUGGCCCGCUGCUGGCAGUAUUUUCUUUUUAAUGCUAUGUACCGUUAACAUGUAAUUGCUACAACUGAUUCUACAACCGAACCUACUUCAAGCUAGUUGAUUGAUAGGGCAAAGGGUAGUGAUAUGUUCCUGAGUGAUAUGUUCCUGGGGAUGUUUGAUUAUUAUUAGACUUCGUACAAUAGGUGCGAGGGGCAGCAAGUUGCAUGAAGGAUCACUGGCUGCCUUUAGAUCCCACAGCGUCCCUCAACUAUUGGGGCACGUGGACAGUCAUACCAUCCAUCCACUUCUGCACUGUCACAUGGCAACCAAGAUGGGACCUGUCAAUCAGAAGCAGAUUAAAAGGCUCAGACAUAUAGUUUCAGAAGCAGAUUAGGCUCAGACAGAUAGUUUCAGAGCAUUUACAUAGACAACUUCAGAUUUGUUUUAAACUGAAUUACUGAAUUUACUGCAACCUGUUGCUUCUACGUCAGUUCAGCAGUCAGGCCCUGUCUGGAGUAAAUCAAGAAAAUAUGUGUGUGCUUGUUUUGCUGGGGCCUUGAUCAAGUAUGUAAAUCAUAACAUUUCGACAAGCAAACACAUGUAAAUUGUUUAUGUAACCUAGUACCAUCAUCUUUGAAAUGCAAGAGAAAGGCCAUAGUGUAUUAUUCCAGCCCAGGUACAAUUUAGAUUUUAGCCACUAGAUGGUAUAGGUGUAUGUGCAAAGCUUUAAACUGAUCCAAUGAACCAUUUCAUUUCUGAUUAAAAUGUUGUAUCAAGAGUGCCCAAAUGUGCCUAAUUUGUUCAUUAGUAACUUUUCAUGUUCAAAAUUGUGCACUCUCCUCAAGCAAUAGAAUGGUAUUAUGUCAGUGUAAUAGCUACUGUAAAAUGGACAGUGCAGUUAGAUUAACA
ensembl:lncRNA